rnacentral:rRNA from 1 species
GUGCCAGCAGCCGCGGUAAUACGGAAGGUCCGGGCGUUAUCCGGAUUUAUUGGGUUUAAAGGGAGCGUAGGCCGCCCCUUAAGCGUGUUGUGAAAUGCGGGUGCUCAACAUCCGACUUGCAGCGCGAACUGGGGGGCUUGAGUGCGCCGAAAGUAGGCGGAAUUCGUGGUGUAGCGGUGAAAUGCUUAGAUAUCACGAAGAACUCCGAUUGCGAAGGCAGCUUACUGUAGCGCAACUGACGCUGAUGCUCGAAAGCGUGGGUAUCGAACAGGAUUAGAUACCCUGGUAGUCCACGCGGUAAACGAUGGAUGCUCGUUGUCGGCCUUUAUGGUCGGUGACCAAGCGAAAGCGUUAAGCAUCCCACCUGGGGAGUACGCCGGCAACGGUGAAACUCAAAUGAAUUGACGG